ACGUGUUUCGAGUAAAUGAUAGCAAAAACUUGUUCUGUUGGUUUCGAGUGAUUGAAAAGUGAUUUCCCGAUACGGUUAAGUGUUUGAAAGUGCUACGCAGUGUUUUUUUUCGUUAAAAGCUGUUCUCGAUACUUGUUGAACCACGUUUUAAGUGAUUUCUCUGCCCUUACCGUGGACCAGCGUUCUGGAUAAGCCACGUAAUCAAAAGGAUUUUUUUUCCUGACAGGUAAAUCCGAGUCCUGGACCAAUGUCAAGCUCUAGUGAUUUCUUCUGCUGAUUUUUUCGGUGCAAUUCCGAUCAAACCACGUGUUCAAGGGAAUGUUUCUUCUUGACAGGUAAUUGUUAGUCCGUGUAUUUGCGUUUUAAUUCGAGAGAAUCGAAUAGUAAGCUGCAUUGAAAUCUAUGAGUUUCGAUGAGUUCUCACGGGAUAAUCUCUGGUCAACCUACGUCCUGGUCGGAACUCCAAUGAUUCGUUCUGCUGACAUUUUGUUUCUGCUGUGUUCAAGCGGAUUGGUUUUCCUGGCAGGUAUGUGAUUGUAGGUCCUGAUUACGUGUUUUGUUUGAUUUCGAGAGUAACAAAAGUUUUGCUAAGAAUUCUGAACGUAGCAUGCACAUUACGGUUUCCACGAGUUUUCAUCGCGUUCUGGUAAG